GCCAGCGAUCCGGCUGUGUUCCUCAAAUGACACGCCGGGCAGCUUCCGGGAAACCAAAGCUUUUGGGUUCCGGGGGAAGUAUGGUUGCAAAGCUUAAACUUAAAGGAAUUGACGGAAGGGCACCACCAGGUGUGGAGCCUGCGGCUCAAUUUGACUCAACACUGGAAAACUCAUCCGGCCCGGACACAGGAAGGAUUGACAGAUUAAGAGCUCUUUCUUGAUUCUGUGGGUGGUGGUGCAUGGCCGUUCUUAGUUGGUGGAGCGAUUUGUCUGGUUAAUUCCGAUAACGAACGAGACUCUAGCCUACUAAAUAGACGUUCCGAUCCUCUCCAGUCGGACGCUCUUCUUAGAGGGACAAGCGGCGCUUAGCCGCACGAGACAGAGCAAUAACAGGUCUGGUAUGCCCUUAGAUGUCCGGAGCCGCACGCGCGCUACAUUGAAGGAAUCAGCGUGUGCUUUCCCGGUCCGACAGGACUGGGUAACCCGUUGAACCUCCUUCGUGCUGGGGAUAGGGGUUUGUAAUUAUCCCCCUUGAACGAGGAAUUCCCAGUAAGCACGAGUCAUCAGCUCGUGUUGAUUAAGUCCCUGCCCUUUGUACACACCGCCCGUCGCUACAAUCGAUUGAAUGAUUUAGUGAGGUCUUCGGACUGGCGACCGGAUUG
rnacentral:rRNA from 1 species